GCCGGGGUGGCGGAACCGGUAGACGCGCGCGACUCAAAAUCGCGUUCCCACAAGGAAUGAGAGUUCGAGUCUCUCCCCCGGCA
rnacentral:tRNA from 1 species